UACUGUCUGUAUUUAAAACAGGACACAUUGUGUGUGUGUGUGUAGGAUUACUGACGGCAGGUAUAUAAGUGCAGACGGAGUGUGUGAGUGUGUGAGAGAGCAGCAUGCAGCAGAUCUACAGACAGAGCGACCAACAGUUUGAAGUUUAUACCACCGUGUUCUCCCCGCAAGUGUGCAGAGCGAGGAGCAGACAUGUGGAGGCAGAAAAGGUGAUGGUGGUGGUCUCUGAUCACAGGGCUGGUCUCCAGAGAGAUCUGGACCUGAGGCGAGGGGACCAGGUUCUGGUUCUGUUCAGAGAGGAGAACA